rnacentral:misc_RNA from 1 species
GAUGAGGCUGUGGACUUGGCUGAAAUGUUACAAGUGGUGUCCCAAGAUUGGUUCUUGGGAUUUGUGGAGAGGUUCUUGGAUGCUGAUGUGGAUUCCUCAACUUUGUCACAUAAUAGCCAAAUAGCAGGCAUGUUGACUCAGCUGAAGAGUGUGAAUGACUGGUUAGAUGGGAUUGGUUCAAGCAAGGAGGAAGGACAAACACCCCAUUUUUCAUCAGGGACAGUGGACAGGCUUAGGAAGAAGAUUUAUGAAUAUCUUCUUACGCAUGUUGAAAGUGCUGCUGCUGCAUUAGGUAGUGGAUCACAAUCAUCACCAACUCUCCGGAGUAUAGACACAAAAACCAAAAAAGUAGCUUGAUUAAUUUGCAGCUUGGCCAGUGAAAUGCAGCAUUGGUGAUGCAUGCGUAUAUCAUACCAAAAUUCCCGUU